CUGCCUUCACAAAGCCUCAGCCAUGACAACCUGUCUCAGGAUUCUGAUCCAACCCAACAGGUUCCUUCCAGCUAUCAUGCCGCUGCUCGGGCAGGAAUAGCUUCUCUCUGAUGGAACACACAUGAGGAGAUAUGAGAUCCCAGGUAUGCUGUAAAGAAGAACCUCAUCCUGCCAGCCCCACCAGCUAAAGGGGAGAUGUCAGGUCCUCUGAGCCAGCCCCGCAGCCCACCCCUUCACAGACACACUGAUGGCACUCACCUCAGGGAGUCACCAUUUCUACCAUUUAUUGAGCACCUACUCUGUGCCAGACACUAAGCAGAGGGCUGCAGACUCAGCACUCCAAUCAACUCAUCUCAACCACAACUCUUUGAGGCAGGGACUAUUAUUGUCCCCAUUUUGCAGCUAUGAAAGCAGAGGUCUCCAAGCUUACCAAGAAUGUGACUCUACUGACUCCAGAAGUCUGUGCUCCACCGUGCCAUUCCCAGCCAUGGGCAUGGCCUGAGGUCAGCUAAGAAGAAGGGAGCACAGUCACUGUUCUCAAAGACCUUAUGAAUUUGGGGUGUAUAUCUUUCAAAAAGAGAGACUAUCUCAGAUGUCACACAGGUAUCUUGUAUCUUAUAGCUUAAAACACCACUUAAAAAGCAAAGCACAAAGCAGUGUGUUCACUAUGCUACCACUGGUGCAAAAGGAAGGAAACGAACAUAUGUGUUUGCUUUAAAGUAAACACAUUCAAAAGAAACUCUUCAGGAUGUAGGAAAUUGAUAGCAGUGUCUAGCUAAGAGGGAGGGAAUGGACAGAUGGGGCAGAAGGAGCAUUUCACUCGACAAUCCUCUCAUUUUAUUUUUAUUUUCAAAUAUGUAAAUAUAUCCACUAUUAAAAAAAAUCAGAGUUUUUAAUUAAAAAAUUAAAUGUCCGCUCAUGAAUUUUACAGAAAAGGAGCCUGAAGCUCAGAAGGAAUGGCUUGGGGCUGCGACUCACAGCUGGCCAGCCAGAGACUCAGGACAGGCCCUACCCAUCCAUCCCCUCAUUCCACAAGCAUUGGCUUUCCACCCCAGUGUCCACUGGGUCUCACACAUAGAAGGUCUCAGUUCCAUUACCACCACCCUCAUCACCUCCAUUGUCAACACCUCAGCUAUUUCCACCAUGUCGAUACAAUCAUGGCCCAACCUUUGUUAACGCCAUCACCAACAUCACCUUCACCACUACCUCUACCACCACCCUAACAUUUCUAGCACCACCCUGCCCAUCAUGACCUCCAAUUCCACCACCACUGCCAUCAUAACUGUCACCAUCAUCACCUGCAUCACCUCCAGCAUGCCAGUACGACCUUGGCCAAGAGUUUGUCAUUGAUGUGCCUAAGAGCGAUAAGACAGAGGUGGACAUUGAGCUGCAAAACAACAAGAUGAGGAAUGGAGAAAAAUGUUCACAAAAGUUUUGAGCCAGUGCUUCUCUACCAACAUACAUAUUCUAGAUCCUGGCUUGGGAUGGGGUGUCAUGAAGAUGAAUGAGACAAGCCUCCCCGCUCGUUAAGGGAAGUCAAUAUAAAACAGUACGUGUAAAAGAAGGGAGAAGUAACGUUGGGUCUCUCCAGUGGGGAAGAAACUUCAGAAAAAAGAGCAAGCUUUCUUUCACUGCAUUUGUUCAAGACCAGGUCUACACCACGUAAGCAAUCUACUACAUACGUGAGCUGUAGAUUCUAAAGCAACACCGUCCACUGGAACUUUCUGCAGUGAUGGAAAUAUCCCAUGCCUGUACUGUCUGACACAUGUGUGGCUACUGAGUACCUGAAAUGCAUCUAGUGCAACUAAAGAACUGAGUGUUUAAAUUUUUUAAGUUUUUAUUCAUUUAAAUUUAAAUAGCCACAUGUGUCUCAUGGCUACUGCAUCAGACAGGGCAGCCUUAAAGUUUCUAGAAGAAUAAGAGUGAGAAAUGCUGCCAACACGCAGUAGUCACUUGGCUGUCACCAGAGGAAGAGAUUUCUGAGGAUUGAGGCUAGUCAAAGAUAGAAUGUUAGCACUGAGGAACUUCUAGACAUCAAGCCAAGAUUGGGGUCAAGCUGACCUCACCCACCCAGGACAAUCAUGGACCAUCUGAUUUCCCCAGAAGCCCAGGACAGCGGUUACCCCUGAAAUCACCACUGAACCAAGUUUGGGGUGGCCUGAAUUGUCUUUGUUUGGGGCUGUUUGUUUUGAGUGGUGUCAUUAUUUUAUUUUUAAAUUACCUAUAAUGCGCCCUUUAAAAAUUCCCUAAUUACAGAUAGGAUAAAUACAUAAUUGCAG
rnacentral:lncRNA from 1 species